AGGCAGUGACAAGAAAUGACAACUCUAGGAUUUCUUAGAAGUGUAAUGAGGAUAAUUUACAAACCUUACCGAAUGCAAUUGGAGGGCAAGUCUGGUGCCAGCAGCCGCGGUAAUUCCAGCUCCAAUAGCGUAUAUUAAAGUUGUUGCAGUUAAAAAGCUCGUAGUUGAAGUUCUGAUCGUUCAGGUCCUCAGCCUUAGGCGGGGAUUCUGACGGUCAUCCGCUUGCAAACAUAUGUUCGAUCUUCACCGGUUGGCUAUGUGAGUAAGCAAUUUACCUUGAGAAAAACAGAGUGUUCCAGGCAGGUUUGUCCGGAAUGCAUUAGCAUGGAAUAAUAGAACAUGACUGAAGUCUAUUUAUUGGUUUAAGGCUUUAGUAAUGAUUAAUAGGAACAGUCGGGGGCAUUCGUACUCAGCAGUCAGAGGUGAAAUUCUAAGAUUUGCUGAAGACGAACUAAUGCGAAAGCAUUUGCCAAGGAUGUUUUCAUUAAUCAAGAACGAAAGUUAGGGGAUCAAAGACGAUCAGAUACCGUCCUAGUCUUAACUAUAAACGAUGCCGACUCGGAUUCAGAUGAAUCAAAAAGUUCAUUUGGGACCGUAGGAGAAAUCAAAGUCUUUGGGUUCUGGGGGGAGUAUGGUCGCAAGGCUGAAACUUAAAGGAAUUGACGGUUUUGCACCACCAUGGAGUGGAGUCUGCGGCUUAAUUUGACCCAACACUGGGAAACUCAUCAGGGCAAGAAGAUUUUAGGAUUGACAGAUUGAGAGUUCUUUCUUGAUUGGUCUAGUGGUGGUGCAUGGCCGUUCUUAGUUGGUGGAGUGAUUUGUCUGGUUAAUUCCGUUAACGAACGAGACCUUAACCUGCUAACUAGUGCUUCGAUCUCUAAUCGAAGGCACUUCUUAGAGGGACUAUGUGUGGUAAUCACAUGGAAGUUUGAGGCAAUAACAGGUCUGUGAUGCCCUUAGAUGUCCUGAGCUGCACGCGUACUACAAUGGCACUUUCAACAAGUCUUUCCUGAUCCGAAAGGAUUUGGGUAAUCUUUUUAGGGAGUGCCGUGCUUGGGAUAGAUCUUUGUAAUUGUGGGUCUUGAACUAGGAAUUCCUAGUAAGCGCGAGUCAUCAUCUCGUGCUGAUUACGUCCCUGCAAAAUGUACACACCGCCCGUCGCUUUUACCGAUUGAGUGUUCAGGUGAGUCUUCUUGAUAGUUUUUCUAAAAAUUAA
rnacentral:rRNA from 1 species